rnacentral:ncRNA from 1 species
UCAGGGGUGCCGCAAGGCUGAGACAGGUAUUUGCCUGAACCCUUUUCACCUGAUACGGAUCAUGCCGUCGUAGGGAGAUCG